GCCUCAAGCGGACAGCGAGAGGGGCGCACCCGGCCUGAGUACGGCUGGAGCUGGGGCUGCAGACCCAGGACCAGGAGCUGGACAGCGCCCUAGCCGGGGAAGGUGAUCUGAGUGGGAGGCUGGCUGUUGCUGGGACUGUCAGGCAGGCGUGGCAAGUGAUACCACUUAGCUGUUCAAAAAAAAAAAAAAAAUCACGAAAACAGCCCAAACUAUAGGGUGCUGAAGGCCAUCUUGUUACCUACGUCUUUUGAAAAUCAAAUCUUUGAGAAAGGUGGGCAGAUCCAGUGACAGACGACAACGGUCUGGGCGUCUAUUUACAGAACAAAUGCUUUGAAAAUACCUUCCAAUUCGAUCCCUUAGCAGACAUAGAUGGAGAAAAGGAUCUAACAGGUGGACUUUCGAGCCUGCUGCGGUACUUCCUAAAUAGACUAAGGGCUGGGGGAAGGCCAGCAAACAUACACCUCCCCUUAGUCCCCACCCCCAGCCCGAACUGCUUCUCCCAAUCCGCUCCAGUUUUCUCAGGCAGCAGGUAACUCCCUAGAGAUCGUCCAAACGGCUCCUCCCAGUUCUUCCAUCCUAGCAUGGCAACUCCAUGGCAGCUAACACCUCCCAUUUCUUCUCAGCCGGCCCAAAUUCUCGUUUCUUCUUGCACAGUGCGACCAGGGCCACCACAUAACUCCAUCACUGUGAGGGAUUGUAUCAGGGCUUGUUUAAACCCCGUGGGGCCCCCCAUUGCGCUAGAGGAAACCCAGGCUUCUUGUCACCAUCACACUGACGUGGACCCGUGCGCCUGCUGUAGGAAUACUCUUCAUGCCUAGGCAGGGACAGCCUCUGCCGGCAGGGGUCUGCUCCAGAGUAUUUGAAGUGGCGAGAUGUGGAAAUGGACAGGGGCUUCUGAACAUUCCCAUCCUAAGAGAGGCCUUCCGACUUUAUGAUUGCCCAGAGGCACCUACACCACCUGCUUCUGAGAGAGGAGCUGGUUGGUGUCUGUCGGGCCACACUCACCCUGCCCUCCACUCUGCUCAGCAUUGCUCAAAUCCUGAAGCCCUGAGUCAUGAUCCUGGUGCCAGCCAGCCAGCCAGGGAGAGAGUGUGAUGUUCCCCCUCGCCCUGACUGUCUCCACCCCAGGCCACAGAGUAGACUGGGUACCUGGUAAAUGGACCCAUCCUGCCUGCCUCACUCAGCUGUCCACCCUCUGGCACAGCAGUCUUCUUCCUGGGAGGACGAGAGGAACCUCCAGCUCUUCCCUUAUUGGAAAACACUAGGUUUGCAUCCAAGGAAUGGGCCUGGUAACACGGCUCUUCUUCAGCUUAAUGAAAUCACAUCUGUCUGCUGAGGCUAGAGGACACUCUGUACCCAACCAAAGAGACCUAUGGAGAGACAGACUGUUCCCAAGGCACUGCCCUGUGCACCAGCCCUUCUUUUCCCAUUCUUGAGUCAGCAACGAGGAUCCUCCCCAGCUCCAAAGCUACCGGCAUCAGACUAGAAGGGAGAUAGACACUGCCAGGAGAGUGGUUUGAUGUGGCCAGAAAAUACAAGACCAAGCCUGCGCAAAGUUGCUACUGCAUUCAGCUGAACUCCACUGAGCAUGGCGGCCCAUCGCUCCCCCGUACGGCUCCAGUGGGAAUAUAGUGGAAAUCUGUAAGGGACCCACACCAUGAGACUGCAGAAUUUGAGCCUCACAGCAGAUCUGCACCACAGGGGCCACAAGCACCCAUGGUCCUGGAGCUGAGGCCUCACUUUCCACCCAGAUUCUCAGUGUUUUGUGAAAAGCCAUGCACCAUUAGUGCCAAGGUUAAUGUAUCUCCUGGCCUCAAGAUUUCCCGUAUCCACAGCUAUAAUUUGUCAAUAUGUAAUAAAAAUUUAAAACAUUGUUACAAAAUAUUCACAACACAACAUGGUUAAUUUUGACUGACAGCUUGAUUAAAUUAAGACCAAGGAGGUUUUUCUACACACCUUGGGCUUGUCUGUGAAGAUAUUCCCAGGAGGACUAAGAAGGAAGACUCUCCCAGAAUGUGGGUGGAGCCAUCACCAUAGGCUGGAGCCCCACUGAAGGGAAGAAAACUGAAAAUAAGUAAAUACAUUUUGUGGGUGAGGUGGAAGGAGUGACCGGCAGAUCUGUGCCUCACACCGCAGGCUCCCUGUUAGCCAUGCUCUAACUCUUGUGGCACCAGACAUUGCCCUGGGAUCACAAUUUGUAUCCUUCUGGGUGAAGGAGCAGCUUCUGGGUCAGCACUGAAAGCUGAGUUGUCUUUUGGUCACAUCUGGUAAUGCUGACAAGAUACAGUUUAACAAUAAAGAGGAGAGGAAGAGA